rnacentral:rRNA from 1 species
GACGAACGCUGGCGGCGUGCUUAACACAUGCAAGUCGAACGGAAAGGCCCUGCUUUUGUGGGGUGCUCGAGUGGCGAACGGGUGAGUAACACGUGAGUAACCUGCCCUUGACUUUGGGAUAACUUCAGGAAACUGGGGCUAAUACCGGAUAGGAGCUCCUGCUGCAUGGUGGGGGUUGGAAAGUUUCGGCGGUUGGGGAUGGACUCGCGGCUUAUCAGCUUGUUGGUGGGGUAGUGGCUUACCAAGGCUUUGACGGGUAGCCGGCCUGAGAGGGUGACCGGGGAAAGGGGGAAGGAGGUACGGCAGGGAGUAGUGCGGAAGAUAGGGGACGGGGCGAGAGCGGAAUGGGGCGAAGUCGGGGGCAGGAUGGCGGCGUGAGGGGUGGUGACCUGCUGGUUGGAGGGGAGAAAGGCAGGGGAGGGACCGGGAGUGACGGUAACGGGUAAAGAAGCACCGGCUAAUUACGUG